rnacentral:rRNA from 1 species
GACGAACGCUGGCGGCGUGCUUAACACAUGCAAGUCGAACGGAAAGGCCCUGCUUGUGUGGGGUGCUCGAGUGGCGAACGGGGGAGUAACACGUGAGUAACCUGCCCUUGACUUUGGGAUAACUUCAGGAAACUGGGGCUAAUACCGGAUAGGAGCUCCUGCUGCAUGGUGGGGGUUGGAAAGUUUCGGCGGUUGGGGAUGGACUCGCGGCUUAUCAGCUUGUUGGUGGGGGAGUGGCUUACCAAGGCGUUGACGGGUAGCCGGCCUGGGAGGGUGACCGGCCACAUUGGGACUGAGAUACGGCCCAGACUCCUACGGGAGGCAGCAGUGGGGAAUAUUGCACAAUGGGCGGAAGCCUGAUGCAGCAACGCCGCGUGCGGGAUGACGGCCUUCGGGUUGUAAACCGCUUUCGCCUGUGACGAAGCGUGAGUGACGGUAAUGGGUAAAGAAGCACCGGCUAACUACGUG